rnacentral:rRNA from 1 species
ACGAACGCUGGCGGCGUGCCUCAGACAUGCAAGUCGAACGCGAAAGUUCCCUUCGGGGGGCGAGUAGAGUGGCGCACGGGUGAGUAACACGUAGGUAAUCUACCUUUGGGUGGGGAAUAACAGCCGGAAACGGCUGCUAAUACCGCAUAAUGCAGCGGCUCGACAUCGAGACAGUUGUUAAAGCGGGGGAUCGCAAGACCUCGCGCCUAAAGAGGAGCCUGCGGCGGAUAGCUUGUUGGUGAGGUAAUGGCUCACCAAGGCAUCGAUCCGUAGCCGGCCUGAGAGGGCGGUCGGCCACACUGACACUGACAUACGGGUCAGACUCCUACGGGAGGCAGCAGUCGGGAAUUUUGGGCAAUGGGCGCAAGCCUGACCCAGCAACGCCGCGUGAAGGAUGAAAUCCCUCGGGAUGU